rnacentral:miRNA from 1 species
UCAAAACUGAACCGAAAAUGCAGGACUUGCUUUAAUUGUUUUCUGUCAGUGUUUAUAUAUAUAUUGAUCUAGCACAGUGUAAAUUACAUGAGUUCCAUUAUAGUAAAUAAUACAGAAAGAAAUUGAAGGAAAACAAUUAAAGCAAGUCUUGCAUUUUCGGUUCAGUUUUGA